UACGUAGGUGGCAAGCGUUGUCCGGAUUUACUGGGCGUAAAGGGCGCGCAGGCGGUCGUUCAAGUCGAGUGUGAAAGCCCCCGGCUCAACUGGGGAGGGUCACUCGAUACUGAUCGACUCGAAGGCAGAAGAGGGAAGCGGAAUUCCCGGUGUAGUGGUGAAAUGCGUAGAUAUCGGGAGGAACACCAGUGGCGAAGGCGGCUUUCUGGUCUGCUCUUGACGCUGAGGCGCGAAAGCCAGGGGAGCAAGCGGG
rnacentral:rRNA from 1 species